rnacentral:rRNA from 1 species
UAGUCCACGCCCUAAACGAUGAUUACUCGGUAUUGGCGAUACACUGUCAGUGCCCAAGCGAAAGCGUUAAGUAAUCCACCUGGGGAGUACGAUCGCAAGAUUGAAACUCAAAGGAAUUGACGGGGGUCCGCACAAGCGGGGGAGCAUGUGGUUUAAUUCGAUGAUACGCGAGGAACCUUACCUAGGCUAGAAUGUUUCUGGACCGUCCCUGAAAGGGGACUUCUCUUCGGAGCCGGAUACAAGGUGCUGCAUGGUUGUCGUCAGCUCGUGCCGUGAGGUGUUGGGUUAAGUCCCGCAACGAGCGCAACCCCUAUUCUUAGUUGCCAGCAUGUAAUGAUGGGGACUCUAAGAAACUGCCUACGCAAGUAGAGAGGAAGGCGGGGAUGACGUCAAAUCAUCAUGGCCUUUAUGCCUAGGGCUACACACAUAAUACAAUGGUGCGCACAAAGGGAAGCGAACUCGCGAGGGGAGCAAAUCUCAAAAGCGUAUCUCAGUCCGGA